rnacentral:misc_RNA from 1 species
UCCGUAGGUGAACCUGCGGAAGGAUCAUUAUCGAGUUAGGGUCCCUCGUGGCCCGACCUCCCAACCCCUUGUUUAUUAUACCUUUGUUGCUUCGGCGGACCCGCCUUAACUGGCCGCCGGGGGACCGUCGAAAGGCGUCCCCUGGCCAGCGUCCGUCGGUGGCCCUUAAACUUCUGUUAAACUGUGCCUUAAUUCUAAGUAAAAUUUGAAAUAAAAAGCAAAAACUUUCAACAACGGAUCUCUUGGUUCUGGCAUCGAUGAAGAACGCAGCGAAAUGCGAUAAGUAAUGCGAAUUGCAGAAUUCCAGUGAGUCAUCGAAUCUUUGAACGCACAUUGCGCCCUUUGGUAUUCCGAAGGGCAUGCCUGUUCGAGCGUCAUUAUCACCCCUUAAGCCCCGUGCUUGGUGUUGGACGGCCUGGCUGGGCGCACUGCCCGGCCCCUCCUAAAGACAAUGACGGCGGUCUGUGGAUCCCCCGGUACACUGAGCUUCUUUACCGAGCACGUACUGGACGAAAAGGGCGCCCGGACGACGGUCUAAAACCCCCAU